GGGGCAACCUCGUUCCCAGGGUCUCUCCGUCUGUCAUCUGGGAGAGACCCUGGCUGCGGCUGGUCACGUGCCUCCCAGAUUCUGGGAGGUAAAUUUAAUUGUAACUGUGAGAGGGGUGGGAAAGGAGCGUGUUUGUAGCGUUUUAAAAUUGCAACUGUGGGUGAUGAAAUGUACUGUAAAUUUGCAACAAGAAAUCGUAAAGAGAACUCUUAAAUUAAUAUUUAUAUCGUGACGUUCUACUCUAUAAUCUGGUGUCGAGUUACAAUUCAAGCAAGUUGGAUCAGAUUUCAUUUAAUAUAGACUUGCCAAAGAAAUCACGCUUGCGGCGGCUUGCCGCUUGUGCAGCGUGGCAAUAUUAAACCUACAGGAAAAUAUAUAUCUCCAGACCGAACAGUGUGGUUGUUAUUUAUUUAGUAUUAAAGUCUAUCCUGAUACUCGGACCAAAAGAAUUUAUUUAUUGAUGAGAUGUGGAAUUGCAACGAAAUAGCGAGAUGUUUUGAUUUCCGAAAUAUCAAAUAUCGCCAACUGUAUCCAGAUUGUUGAUCUAUAUAAAGACCUUAUCAAAAAAAACUUAAAGCCCUUUGCAU